GACAUUUCCACACUCAUCCUUGACCAUGUCUGUUCAUGGUGAUGUACUAAAAGUGAUGACUUCUGCUUCGCUUCAUCUUCCUAAUCCCAAAAAGCUGGACAUGGAAAGACCAGAUUUGUGAGCUGAUAACUGGCAUGUGCUUAAUGCUCCCAGGAACUUCUGAGAAGUUUAUUAAGGACACUUGCCUCUGGACCUCUCAGGACAAAGUCAAUCUAGGCCCAAAAUACACACCAUCAAUGCGUCUUCACCUGCAUGGAAGCAAUGGCUUCCAAAGGAACAGCUGAAUCCAGUUUGCAGUCUCAGCAAUGGCCUCAUGAAGCCCCCUGAAGACUCCACCGCAGAUACUGGCCUUCCCACCACAGAGAGCUGGAUUGCAGGCUCACAGAACCAGUGCUCCCAGCACAACCCAGGGACAAUCUCCUCAGAGUUCUGAGUUUCCCCUCCCAGGACCCCUCCUUCAGGCUUUGAUAAGUCCAACCUCUUGCUCUUGUCCUUCAGUGCAAUCAGGGUAACUGUGCCCUGUGCUUAUUACCUUAGAAUAAACUUUUUUUUA